rnacentral:antisense_RNA from 1 species
CUUCACCGAGCCCAGCAGCAGCGGCCGGUCCUCGGGACGGUCCUGACCGUAGGUGGCCAGCAGGGCCUGUGCCUC